CGAAGGGUGCAAGCGUUACUCGGAAUUACUGGGCGUAAAGGGUGCGUAGGUGGUUGUUUAAGUCUGCUGUGAAAGCCCCGGGCUCAACCUGGGAAUGGCAGUGGAUACUGGACAGCUAGAGUGCGGUAGAGGGUAGUGGAAUUCCCGGUGUAGCAGUGAAAUGCGUAGAGAUCGGGAGGAACACCAGUGGCGAAGGCGGCUACCUGGACCAGCACUGACACUCAAGCACGAAAGCGUGGGGAGCAAACAGGAUUAGAUACCCUGGUAGUCCACGCCCUAAACGAUGCGAACUGGACGUUGGGUGCAACUUGGCACUCAGUGUCGAAGCUAACGCGUUAAGUUCGCCGCCUGGGGAGUACGGUCGCAAGACUG
rnacentral:rRNA from 1 species